ACUGCACCAACGACGCAUCACUCCAGUUUCAGAUCGAGACCAAGCUCUACCAGAUGCGUCAGGAACCAAGUCAAUCUAUAGCUGAUUUCUAUUCUUAAGUCACUAAUCUUUGGGAUCAAUUGGCUACUGCAUAACCACAGCUGCAUUGUACCACCGAUAUAGAGCUCUUCGCUCAAUAUCGUGAUUGUAGUUAGCUCAUGCACUUCAUGAUGGCUCUACGAGAUGAUUUUGAAUCUAUUCGGGCCUUCCUUCUCCAUCGUGCACCAU
rnacentral:lncRNA from 1 species